rnacentral:rRNA from 1 species
AGAGUUUGAUCCUGGCUCAGAGCGAACGCUGGCGGCGUGCUUAACACAUGCAAGUCGAGUGCGCGUCCGUAGCAAUACGGAUGGCGCACGGCGCACGGGUGCGUAACACGUGGGCAAUCUGCCCUCAGAUGGGGGAUAACCCCGCGAAAGCGGGGCUAAUACCGCAUGACAUUCCGAGGACCUCGGUCCUUGGACUCAAA